rnacentral:misc_RNA from 1 species
GAGAAAAGUUGGCUCCUAAGGAUUCAUUUAUUUCAAGGAAAAUAAUUUGUCUAAGAAAAAUGGAAAGCAUUUUCUGUGAAAAUAACUUAUUUUGUGUUGUUUGGUUGUAAUGCUGAACAGCAAAGGGAAAUUAUUUUCUGGUGUUUUGAAUGCACUGGAAAAUGUUAAUGUUAUUUCAAUUUAUAAUAUUAUAAAAAUGUUUGAACUAUAAGAACUUAAUUGUCUAAUAAUAAUUGUUGAAUAUGAGAAAAGAAAAGGUAAUUUGUGGCAGCCAUCAUCACCUAUCGCCAGUGGUGUCAAAUUGUCAAUGUUCAUUGAUCGUAACCAUGAUGGUUGCCGAUGGCACCCGUGGUGGUGGAUAAACUAAUGUUUAAGUGUUUAUGUAAUGCAUUUAUGAAAGUAUUUUUCACAUUUCAGUGACUGUCAUAGAUCAAAAGCGGAAGCCAUUUUCCUUGAAAAUAGCUUUGUUUUCCAUUUGACUAAGAAAAUAUUUUCUA